AUAAAUGCAACUGAAUGAAUGAAUGGGUUAUAUAGGUGUUUUUCCCAGGUUGAGGCUCAUCUAUUGCACUCUGAGUGUGCUGUCCCCUGAGAUUCCCCAAAUGCGGGAAACUGGACUGCAUAAUUUGUGGUAGUGGGGGACUGGGUUGGUGCUUUCA